UUAGAAGCUCAUGUCCAUAGCGCACUCUAAAAUGUGAUGGUUCAUCCUAGGGUAUUGGCCUAUGAAAGCCUUCCUGGCUCUCCACACUGCUGCCAACUCCAUCUCCACCACUGCUCUUUUUCUCUCUGAGAGUGGAUAAGCCAUGCAAGGAGUCAUUAAGGAAACAUUUGGCAUUGUUAUCCUAUUGAUACAUGCUUUGGUAAAAUUCAAGACUCUCAGCAGGUUAAUUAGAAAGCAGUGUUUCUCAUCAGCAGCCAGUGAGGAGCUGAUGGGGAUCACAGUCUAUACAUGCUCUGUAAGCUGAUCAGACAAGAGCUAGGCAUGCAUUCCCAUGCACAAAAGCAAGGGGUCUGGACAUACAUAAGCAGAAGGAAGGAUUUGUCUUCCCUUUCCUUAGCAGCUUCUUGUAUCUCCUCCUUCACAGGGCAGACUUUGGGCUGAAAUUGCAGUACCAGAACUCAAGUUUUAUCUCUGCUCAUCAUCCUCUCUGCCAUUCAUCCUGUUUCAUCAAGGAAGAAAUAUGCUGUGGCUGGGAAUCCAACAGACACAGCUUCCUCUGACGUGCUCAGCAAAUGUUUUAGUUUUCAGCAGAAAAAGGC